rnacentral:rRNA from 1 species
AUGAGUCGACCUGAUGGGAUCAACAUCCCCGAUGGCAAGUUCUACCUUGGAGAUGUUGGCUAUGCAUGUCGGCCGGGUAUUCUUCCACCCUUCAGGAAAACAAGGUACCAUCUCAACGAGUUCUCUGGUAGGAACUUUCCUAGGACUGCACAGGAGCUGUUUAAUUUGAGACACUCCAGCCUUAGAGUAACUGUUGAGAGGGCAUUUAGAGCUCUAAAGAAUAGGUUUAAGAUCCUGGAUCAGAAGCCAUUCCACCCAUACUCCACUCAAGUUAAGCUAGUUCUUGCUUGUUGCAUUCUGCAUAACUGGAUCCUCCAGUGGGGCUUUUAUGAACACGUGCCUGAGGAGGAAGAGGUCGACCCUGACGAUGUUGUUAGCUCUGGCCAUGGUGUGGAGGCAUUUGACAAUGACGCUUGGAAGAACAAAAGGUUGGAGUGGGCAGAGGCAAUGUGGCUU